CUCCAUGCCAAAAAAAAUUAGAGAUUGAAUAUUGUUCAAAAAUAUAGUUUAAUUAAGAUGGCUGCAGUUUCAUGCAAACGCCAGCUUGUUCUUGUUGCUUUUAUGUUGCUUUGCUUUUUCUCUGUUGGAGCCAGAGCACGCAGUUUACGGGCGAUCACAACAAGCCAUGAAUCUCAGACGAACCUGAUGCAUGAUGAUAAGUUUUCACCAAAAGAAGAUAGGGCUGCAGACAGCGAUGAUUUAGUGGCCGCUGCGGAUUACACACCUGCAAGAAGGAAGCCUCCAAUACAUAACUAAAAUGAAAAUUAUUAAAUAUUGUUCGACAAUCUUUGCUUUAUUAAUAAAUUACUUGUUUUUCCUAUAUAUUGCAGUUUGAGCUAGCGCAUAAGUAGGUCUAUAUAUAUAGUUCAUGGAGAAAUGAAAACUUCCAAUUUAAAAAAAAAAAAAUAAUAAUAAUAUGGCUUGCAUGUAAAAAUGUAAACGCGAAACAUGCUAGUUGUAUAUAUAUUUAUGGUCUAUAUAUAUACAUGGACCUUUUGUAAAGUAGCUAGGGUUUCCGAAAGGUUAAUUUAUAUAGAUCAGAAAAUUCUGAA